UUUGGCCUUGGAAUAAUGCAUUUUCGUCAGUGGCUUACUUUCAUUUUCUAAGCAUGGAUUCCAAAGCUUUUUUGCCAAGUAUUUGGAGAAGGUGCACUCGAGCUCUGCCCCAGGUUUAAAUGGUCAUUGUCGUAUUUGGAUGGGGGCUAGAAGCAACAACAACAAGUAUGGUGUUGUGUGCUACAAGCAUCCGAUAAAGAACAGCUGGCAGAUGAUGCAUGUGCAUAGACUCAGUGUCAUGUUACAUCAUCGUCACCAUGAGUUAGAUGUAUCAAUUGUUGCAUCCCACUUGUGCCACAACACACUGUGUGUUGUACCAGGGCAUAUUGCUCUGGAGCAGCUCGGUAUCAAUAACCAGCGACAGACCUGCAAAUCCGGGGGCACCUGUCUGGGGCACCCACCUCCCUAUCUUCCCUGUCGUCUGGAGCUAUAUAUGGAUAACAACAAUCUUGGCUCGUGAUUUUAUAUACAGCAAGAUUACGACUGAAGUUCCACCAGUUGGAAACAAGUCCUCCAUCACAAACGAGGGAAUAUGUUGCACACAUUGAGCAGUCUCCAGUAUAGCACAGAACAGUGGCCUCCAGCGCUUUAGUGUUUCAGGAGAUUCAGCUCAUCACUUCAAAGGGCUUUCACUCUGCUGUUCAGAUGACAAAUACAGUGUGACUUCAUAGGGAUGUGUAGUAUGGCUGUAGAAGUUUUUGUGCCAAGUUUCAUGAAAAUCAAAGAAGCCUGGUAGGAAGAAUUUGCCGCUUGACCAGGAUCAUUGUCUGGGUCAUCCGGUCAGUGGUUACCACCUGUACUUCAAGGUCACUCUCAGAGGAGUCCCCACAACAUCCGUAUUCCAGGUGAUGCAUCGAAAUGCUUAAACCAAAUGCCCAGGACUACAAAAGUGCUAUUAUUUAUGACUUGUGUGAUAUGGAGAGUAGAAAUGUCGGAGGAUAGAAGAAUUGUUCUCAGGCCAUCAUUACCUGCUGAUGGAGAGUAAGAGUGUCGGAGGAUAGAAGAAUUGUUCUCAGUUCAUCAUUACCUGUUGGUGGAGAGUAGGAGUGUCGGAGGAUAGAAGAGUUGUUCUCAGUUCAUCAUUACCUGCUGGUGGAGAGUAGAAGUGUCAUAGGAUAGAAGAAUUGUUCUCAGUUCAUCAUUACCUGCUGGUUGAGGCUGAACACUUUGAUAGACAUACUGAAAGAAGAGUCGGAGAACUUCCUGGGUCUCAAGAGAUGAUGACAGCCUGACCACAGGAACACUUCCUUCCUCCUACAAGCAGAAAGAGG